GGGUAUGUGGCUUAGUGGUAGAGUGCUUGCCUAGCAUGCAUGAAGCCCUGGGUUCGAUUCUUCAUUGCCA
rnacentral:tRNA from 1 species